GAGUUUGAUCAUGGCUCAGAUUGAACGCUGGCGGCAGGCUUAACACAUGCAAGUCGAGCGGGGACUCCGGUCCUAGCGGCGAACGAGUGAGGAAUGCUUGGGAAUCUGCCUAGUAGUGGGGGAUAACGUUUCGAAAGGAACGCUAAUACCGCAUACGCCCUACGGGGGAAAGGGGGGGAUCUUCGGACCUCUCGCUAUUAGAUGAGCCCAAGUCGGAUUAGCUAGUUGGUGAGGUAAAGGCUCACCAAGGCGACGAUCCGUAGCUGGUCUGAGAGGAUGAUCAGCCACACUGGAACUG
rnacentral:rRNA from 1 species